UCUAUUGACGCAUAUGUUGCAGCAGUCCGCGUGAUUGUGAUUCUCGUGUCGUUGAUAGCUUGGAGCAGUCGGUUCCGGUCCAUCUACUACUCGUGACCGGGAAUGAAGGAUCAUGUCGCUGAUAGUUCAGGUAUAAAAUGUAUCUUCUCAUAUAGCAUUAUUUCUAGCGGCAAGUGUAUUUUGGUCUACAAUAUAUCAGCUUCCUAGUAAGGCCUUACUGCAAAAAGAUAAUACCAACUACAAUGCUGCAGUCCUACAGUUUUAUUCAUCAAACUUUGUUUCUAUGGUUACUAUUUUUAUUAUUUCAACAACUGGUAGUGAAGUUAAGGCGAGCAUUGGAACAUUUUGAUAGCUUAGUCUUUUUGGAUGGUCCUCUAUCUGUAUAGCAUUACAAGCAACAAACACUGAGCCUUAUUCACCUUCUUAAUCAAUAUACUUGGAGUCCACAUCCAAGAUCAAAGCAUGUAGCUCUGUUCACUCAGGUUCUCAGGAGUAUCUCACAAAUGAGUCCAUCUUAGGUGAGAGAUGACUCAUCCAGCCAUACGAUAUUAUUGACCAUUUAGUAGCAGUUGACCAACAGUUUUGGUAAUUAGAGAAGAAGACAAUUCCACAGAAUCAAAGUUCAGUGCAUUCGUACGGUAAAUUAGCAGGCAAGCUACCUGUACUAAAUACAGGUGGUGCUACCUGUACUAAAUUUUGCUCUGUCAGAUUUUUAUAUAUUUUUAUUAUUACCAAGUAUAUGAGUUUGCUGUAUCAGGUUGUCUCAACGUAUUGCAGUUACACGUUAAUGUGAUAAUCAAUUGCAUGUUUGUGACUUCUCUAUGCAGAAUGAAGAACAGAGGCCUGUAAGUGUGGUGGUAUGGACUCUUUCUAGAGACAUACUUCACUGCUUAUUAAGUUGUGGGUUGUUUUUUUGACAGAUAUUUUCUCACUUUUUUCCAAUGUUAAACAACAACUUAGUCUCCAGUUAUUGUACUUGUGGUACAUAAGUGUUGUUUCAUUCCUUCUUCAGCUUGAUUAUUGUUUUUAUUCACCUUGAGAAGCAUAAGUAUGAUUCCUGCUUUUAAACAGGAUUCCAAGAUCAAAUUAUCUGGGCUGGGGCAAGAAAAGGAACAUGCUCCGGUCUCCGGCAAUCUAAUAGAUUCAUAGGGAACACAUGGACAUGAAGCUAUGGCGGCGACGAAGGUGAUAUCGACAUGGGGCUGCGGCGACGAUGAUUACGACAACAUCGACAUCAACACAGGGCUACGGUGGCGACCAAGACGACGACAUCGUCAUGGUGCUGCGGCGGCGACGACGACGACGACAUCAACACGAGCUUGUGGAAGCUCCGAUGCCGACGACGUAGACGCGUGGCAUAUAUUGUGUGUGUGUGUGUGUGCCCACGUGCGUGCGUGUGUUAAUUAUCUACAUCAGAUAUGUAUGAUUGAUGAUUGAAUGUAUACAUAACAUGUACGUAUUGUGAAAUGCAUGUCUAGACUGAAAUAGGUAGACUUUUAUUUUUUUAAAUCCUAAUUUGUUACUACUAGCGUGGGUGUAUCAUAGAAGCGCUACUGCUAUUCC